rnacentral:rRNA from 1 species
UACGUAGGGUGCGAGCGUUGUCCGGAAUUAUUGGGCGUAAAGAGCUCGUAGGCGGUCUGUCGCGUCGAUCGUGAAAACUUGGGGCUUAACCCUGAGCUUGCGGUCGAUACGGGCAUGACUGGAGUUCGGCAGGGGAGACUGAAUUCCUGGUGUAGCGGUGAAAUGCGCAGAUAUCAGGAGGAACACCGGUGGCGAAGGCGGGUCUCUGGGCCGAUACUGACGCUAGAG